rnacentral:lncRNA from 1 species
AAGUGCUAGGAGGCUAAUGGGUUGCAACAAAGAAGUGCAAUGCCCCUAAUGAAAGUUUAAGGUCAAAAGACCAUAUUCAUUAGAGUUUACGGCCCAGGGGAGUAAGCUCCUGGCCGUAAACUCUCAAACAAGUCAUGAAAUGGAGUUUAAAAGUACUACAACCUUAGAGGGGAAUUGUUUCAAGGCUAUACAAGUGUUUGGGCACCACAUUGACUCCUUUGGGGAGUUUACGGCCCAAAGACCCUUCUCCCUUGGAGUUUACGGCCGUAAACUCCCUUGGGAGGGUUCUUAUUGUCCUUUCAAGUCUCUAACAUUUCUAGGAACAAGUCUAGGCUUCAAUACUUGGAUCAAGGGAGGUUUAUGGCAUUAAAUGGAACCAUUUGAUGGAGUUUACGGCCAUAGAACUCUUUGGGCCGUAAACUCCCUCACACAUGAGGUUCUAAGAAUUUUAACUAGCCCAAAACUCAUCUAGGUACUUGCCCUAAAAGUCUCUUGGCCUAAGGAAGUGUCUAGGGUGUCCUUUGACCCCUUUAAAGGAGUUUACGGCCCAAGAAAUACUCUUGGCCGUAAACUCUUCAACACUUGAGCUUUUCAUGAUUUUUCUAGGUCCUAAACACAUUAAGGUACUAGCCAAAAAUGAAGACUAAGCCUUAGGAAGAGUUUGAAGUGGUUUUGGCACUUAAUCUUGGAGUUUACGGCCUAAGGAGCAUCUUGGCCGUAAACUCCCUUCCAAUGUUGGUUUCUAAUUGUUUUGUGGGUCUAAAUCAUGAGUUUAAGGCUUCUAGGUUCUUGUUCUAAGGCUAAAGGAACACUAGGCACUCAUUUGUGCCCUUUACUUGGAGUUUACGGCCCAAGAGGUUGUUCCUUGGCCGUAAACUCCUCAAACUACUUGCUUUUGAUUUGUUUCUAGCCUCUAAUGAUCAUACACUAAGUCCUUAGUUAGAUGCCUAACACGGAAAUGGGACUAGGUGGCCUUUAGGCUUGAUUUUGGAGUUUACUCCCCAAGAACGUUCUUGGGCGGUAAACUCCCGGAUCUUGUGUUUUGGACAUGUAAACAAUGUUAUAAAGCAUAUAACAAGUAUUAAAACACAUUUAGGGAAGUAGACUCACAAUCUGGGAUGAAAACCCGAAGAUCCGUGAGAGAGUAUUUGGCUUUUCUCUAAAUGGAAAUCAAAUAAUGAACCAAUUUGGUUCAGAAUUCUAUUUAUAGUCCAGAGAUUUUUGGCAGAAAAUAUUUCUAUUCUCGGAAUGGAUUCUAAUGACCUAGAGUAAUGGAAUUACAGUGUUGCACAAAAUCCUAGUGCACCCACUCUCCUAAUAACUCCUUAGGUGUAAAACCCUAAAACUGCCAAACUUAUUCCAAAAGUUUGAAUUUUCACUGAAACUGCUCUACUUCCAUUGGAUUGAUGUGGUUUGAUUUGAAUGGAAAAUUUCGGGUUGUCACAGUUAAGGGGUAUGAACUCACCUGCAGUAUGUGACUGGAAUUGAACGGGCUGUUAUCGUACGGAAGGAUCGGACAAGUGCUUGGUGUCAAGUGAAGACUUAGACACACACAAUGAUCCUAAUUACAUAUGAAGACAUAUGUAUAUAAAUAAUUAGAGAUUAAAUCACUAAUUAUACAAGUAUAAACAUUUAAGCGCGAGGACGACACUUUUGGUCAAGUGCUAGGAGGCUAAUGGGUUGCAACAAAGAAGUGCAAUGCCCCUAAUGGAAUUUUAAGGUCAAAAGACCAUAUUCAUUAGAGUUUACGGCCCAGGGGAGUAAGCUCCUGGCCGUAAACUCUCAACCAAGUCCUGAAAUGGAGUUUAGAAGUACUACAAUCUUAGAGGGGAAUUGCUUCAAGGCUAGACAAGAGUUUAAGGUACCAUAUUGACUCCUAAGGGGAGUUUACAGACCAAAGACCUUUUCCCUUGGAGUUUACGGCCGUAAACUCCCUUGGGAGGGUUCUUAUUGUCCUUUCAAGUCUCUAACAUUUCUUGGAACAAGUCUAGGCUUCAAUACUUGGAUUAAGGAAGAUUUAUGGCACUAAAUGGGACCAUUUGAUGGAGUUUACGGCCAUAGAACUCUUUGGGCCGUAAACUCCCUCACACAUGAGGUUCUAAGAAUUUUAACUAGCCCAAAACUCAUCUAGGUACUUGCCCUAAAAGUCUCUUGGCCUAAGGAAGUGUCUAGGGUGUCCUUUGACCCCUUUAAAGGAGUUUACGGCCCAAGAAAUACUCUUGGCCGUAAACUCUUCAACACUUAUGCUUUUCAUAUGUUUUCUAGGUCCUAAAC